GCCGGAGCUUAGGCACCGGGGCCUGGAGCCGCCUUGGCAGCGGCAGCGGCGGCAGCGGGAGCCCUCCCAGGUCCCGUUUUCUCGGAGAAAUCUGCAGCCCGCCACUCAAGGCAAUUCAGUUGCACCCGCAACCUCAGCUCCAAAUGCCUGAAGCUGGGGCUUUGGAGGUUCUGAGGACCGUUCCUGGGGGAGCGGGUGACAGGCUGUGGGGUUCUCGCGUCCCCUCUGAUUCCUGCACAGUUACCGAGGGAGAGUGUGCUAGAAAUGGCUUUGCAGCCGAAUGCAUGAUCUUGCCAUUUUCGUAUCCCGAUACGGCACACACGAUAGCCUGAUCGAUCUGAAAUAGGAGGGAAAGGUAGAGUGGAAAUUGAUUUCUUGCAGAGACUGAGGCGCCGAAUGAUAGAGGGAAUAAACAUUUGCCCUGGAUAAAAAUGUUCUUGAAAUAAGAAUGUGUAUGCAGCGAAGGCUUAAUAAGUAAGCAUUAGGCUAAAGGCUGUGUUCCAGACCUAAUAAGGACCUAGAGCAGAAGUUUUUCUUCAGUGAUCUAAUCUCACCCCAAAGCCCAUUUCUGUGUUAUGUGUCUGUUUCACACAGGCUCACAAAUGCUGGUAGGGGGAUCUGAGGUCCACACAAAGAAGAUGAAUGUCCCGUUACAAAUUUAACCUUAACAGUUGUGAUACAUCGACAGAAUACUUUUCAUAUAAGAUCUUAAUAGGCUGCCCAAACUCAUUACCUAAAUUGUGAUUCAAAGAAAUACAAUUGUGUUUUGAGGACCCAACUUAAAUUAGAAAACAUAACAUUAAAAAUUUUAUUUUAUAUGUAAAAUAAAUGUGAGGUUGCUGUUCUCGAUAUUUGGAGAAUAAACAGUACAGGAUAAAAAAUAUUAAUUUUGUGACCCAGUGUUCCUUAAAGUUUGUUAAACUAUCUAAGUAUUUGAGCACUAUACUAAAUCAUAUGAUUAAGUUUCAUGAACCUCAAAAUAGAGCCAUAGACUUUUACGUCUCUUAGCUAGCUUUUACCUGGUUUGUACUUGGAUCCGUCUCAAAAGUUAACAUUUUAAUCUUAUACUCAACAUGUUGUUUCCUAAUAUAUUUCUUACCUAUUAAUCCAUGAAAAUGUCUCAUUUAAAAGCAAUAUAAAAAGUAUAUUUGUUGGGGAAAUUGUGAAUUCAUUUGUGAAAAAAAUGUCAGUAUGCUUUGGAUUGUUUUAACUUUAAAUCAAAAUUAUAAUAAAAGUGUAGUAAGAUAAGUAAAUCCAAACUGUCCCUUGCAUACAAAAGAGUCAUAUCACACACACAUAUACACGUAUGCAUAUGUAAUUUACUUCAGUAGAAUAUUUAAGUUUACUCAGUUUAGUCUCUGCUACAUGUUUAUUUUAGUUUUAGAUCUCCCUCUUUGAAAGGGCCUAAAGUGCAGGCAUCUGCUUGUAUUCCUCCAUAAAAUAAAUACGCUGCUAAAUAAACUGAGCCAAUUUAUUUGAACCUCAAAAAAAGUAUAGCAGUGUUCCCCACUUAUUCAUAGGGGAUACAUUCUAAGACUCCCAACAGAUGCCCGAAACCAUAGAUAGUAGAGAACCCUAAAUAUACUGUGUUAUUUUUCCCUACAUAAUGUACACAUCUAUGAUAAAGUUUAAUUUAUGAAUUAGGCACAGAGAGAGUUGAACAAUAAUAAAAUAGAACAAUUAUAAAAAGUCUGGUGUAAUAAAACUUGUAUGAAUGUGUGUCUCUCAUGUAUUUUAUCGCAUUGUGAGUUUUGUACUAUGCUCCCCUUUUUUCUUGUGAUGAUGUGAGAUGAUAAAAUACCCAGGUGGUAAGGUGAAUGACGCUGUGACCAAGUCUUAGGCUGCGGUUGACCUUCUGACUACUUGUCAAGAGGAGGAUCAUCUGUUUCCGGAAACUGAAGCUGCGGGUGGGUAGGUAACUGAAACAGGGAGGGUGAAACCAGAGAUAAGAGACGACCACUGUAUGUUGGAACCUGCAGGGACUUUUGUGGCCAUUGAAUCUAACUCCAUUAU